CAUUUGUCCCCUAAGAGCUCAGUGCUGGAAAGUAACAUCCAGCUUAGAAAUGUAGGAAGUCUGGACCAAGUUAUGAAAUCGUCCGUCUCUGAGGAGUACACUUAUCUAUGCAGUCAUCACUAACUGGGAGCUUUCUCAUAGUUCGUCUUCUCUGUUACAGAUUUAUUCCAUGCUCAGCUGUUAAAAGUCUUUGCUUCCUAGAUAUCUGGAAUCCAGGCAAGUCCCAGGUCUUAAUCUUUUUUAUGGAUCAGCCAGUUCCUGGGAAUAAUGCUGCAUCUGUUGCUCCUUCCUACGGAUUAGCUGCUAAAGGUGUUGCCCCGCCACCUGUUCAGUGGCAGGAAUGGAGGAAGGAGUCAUAAAAGUGACAUUGUAGAAGCUGUUACUGAGCAAGAAGCCACGAAGAUGUAGAUGAUGCCUACAUGUGGAUUCGUUGGCAAGAACAGAGCAAGUCAGAAAAUGCCCCUCCCUGGGGGGUGGGGGGCCUGACAUUUGAAGGUCAUGCAUGAGAAGGGGCUGUGUGCUACAUAGAAUGGCAGUGCCUGCUCCUGACGAUGCCAGCCGCACCAUCCCCAGAGCACAGAUCCAUUCUUCAGAGUGAACCCAGGGAGCUCCUCAGACAGACGCUUAGUGAAACCCCUCUUCAUCAUUGUAUUCAUGGGGACCUCCCGGAAACACAGCAAGCUCUGAAGAUCACGGUGAGGAUGAGGUCAGCCAAAGUCUACAUGGAGCUAGAAUUCUUCAGAUUUGCUGCUUAUGUCACCACAAUCCUGCUGCUCAAAGAGAUCUAAGCUACCAGAGCAGAAAGUCCCAGCCAUCCAUCCCAGGAAGCCCCUUUCUCGAGAUCUGGUCCACUGAACUUUUCUUCUCUCAUUACGAGCUGCCUGCCUGGGGAGUUUAAAGGCUUUGCCAGAGGGCUUCAUCUCAUAUGUCCUUUCUCAUUUCCUAGGGCAUAAAAAUGCUGGAUUGAAUUUACUAACAGUAAAUUCAUGUGUGUGUUCUCCUGGUUCAUUUUCACCCAGACAGAAAAAAAGAGCAACACCAA
rnacentral:lncRNA from 1 species